UACGGAGGGUCCAAGCGUUAUUCGGAAUCAUUGGGUUUAAAGGGUGCGCAGGCGGUAAAGUAAGUCAGUGGUGAAAUCCCUUCGCUCAACGAAGGAACUGCCAUUGAUACUGCUAUACUUGAAUAUAGUUGAAGUAGGCGGAAUGUGUAGUGUAGCGGUGAAAUGCUUAGAUAUUACACAGAACACCGAUAGCGAAGGCAGCUUACUAAACUAAUAUUGACGCUCAUGCACGAAAGCGUGGGGAGCGAACAGG
rnacentral:rRNA from 1 species